CAGGCCUAACACAUGCAAGUCGAACGCGAAAGGGACUUCGGUCCUUAGUAGAGUGGCGCACGGGUGAGUAACGCGUGGGAACGUACCCUGGAGUGGGGAAUAACCAUGGGAACCGAUGGUUAAUACCGCAUAAUGUCUUCGGACCAAAGAUUUAUCGCUCUUGGAUCGGCCCUCGUUAGAUUAGUUUGUUGGUGGGGUAAUGGCCUACCAAGACUACGAUCUAUAGCUGGUUUGAGAGGACGACCAGCCACACUGGGACUGAGACACGGCCCAGACUCAUACGGGAGGCAGCAGUGGGGAAUAUUGGACAAUGGGCGCAAGCCUGAUCCAGCCAUGCCGCGUGAGUGAUGAAGGCCUUAGGGUUGUAAAGCUCUUUCAACGGUGAAGAUGAUGACGGUAACCGUAGAAGAAGCCCCGGCUAACUUCGUGCCAGCCGCCGCAGUAA
rnacentral:rRNA from 1 species